GCAUGGCUCACCCUGCAAGGAGACAUUACGCUGAUCAAAAGCAUCUGUAAUGGGGACCUUGGUUGACAAAGUAACAAGGUUUCCUCAGGAUGUUCGGGGUUUCUUCCACAGUCCGAAGACACACUGAUUUGCACUUUCACCUUGUCCACCUACUCCUUGCUUGCUGAGGGAUAAUUCUGCCAAAUGAUUUACAAGAAGCAAUAAGGGCUGUUUCCGAGGUUCUUACUGACAUCAAAGAAGCUUUGGUGACUGAAGUGGAGAGGAUUGCUUGAGUUACCUGAGAUCAACAAAGGAGCUGAUUGAAAUCCUCUCAGCAAAAUGAUCAGAAGUCUUUUGGAAAGGAUAGGGCAAUAAUGCACUCAUCACAAAAGACAAUUAAA